UGGGGAAUAUUGCACAAUGGGCGCAAGCCUGAUGCAGCCAUGCCGCGUGUAUGAAGAAGGCCUUCGGGUUGUAAAGUACUUUCAGCGGGGAGGAAGGGAGUAAAGUUAAUACCUUUGCUCAUUGACGUUACCCGCAGAAGAAGCACCGGCUAACUCCGUGCCAGCAGCCGCGGUAAUACGGAGGGUGCAAGCGUUAAUCGGAAUUACUGGGCGUAAAGCGCACGCAGGCGGUCUGUCAAGUCGGAUGUGAAAUCCCCGGGCUCAACCUGGGAACUGCAUUCGAAACUGGCAGGCUAGAGUCUUGUAGAGGGGGGUAGAAUUCCAGGGGUAGCGGUGAAAUGCGUAGAGAUCUGGAGGAAUACCGGUGGCGAAGGCGGCCCCCUGGGCAAAGACUGACGCUCAGGUGCGAAAGCGUGGGGAGCAAACAGG
rnacentral:rRNA from 1 species